CUAAUCCUGGUCGGACAUCAGGAGGUUAGUGCAAUGGCAUAAGCCAGCUUGACUGCGAGCGUGACGGCGCGAGCAGGUGCGAAAGCAGGUCAUAGUGAUCCGGUGGUUCUGAAUGGAAGGGCCAUCGCUCAACGGAUAAAAGGUACUCCGGGGAUAACAGGCUGAUACCGCCCAAGAGUUCAUAUCGACGGCGGUGUUUGGCACCUCGAUGUCGGCUCAUCACAUCCUGGGGCUGAAGUAGGUCCCAAGGGUAUGGCUGUUCGCCAUUUAAAGUGGUACGCGAGCUGGGUUUAGAACGUCGUGAGACAGUUCGGUCCCUAUCUGCCGUGGGCGCUGGAGAACUGAGGGGGGCUGCUCCUAGUACGAGAGGACCGGAGUGGACGCAUCACUGGUGUUCGGGUUGUCAUGCCAAUGGCACUGCCCGGUAGCUAAAUGCGGAAGAGAUAAGUGCUGAAAGCAUCUAAGCACGAAACUUGCCCCGAGAUGAGUUCUCCCUGACCCUUUAAGGGUCCUGAAGGAACGUUGAAGACGACGACGUUGAUAGGCCGGGUGUGUAAGCGCAGCGAUGCGUUGAGCUAACCGGUACUAAUGAACCGUGAGG
rnacentral:rRNA from 1 species